GGGGAGCGCGGGGCAGGUGGCUGGAACAGCGGCGGAAGGACGCGCCCCGACGGACAGCGAUGGGAGGUGUCACGUGUCAGUGGGCGGGGUCAUGCAGAUCACCGGUGUUUGGCGGCGGCCGCGGAGACCACCCGGCUGAACCGAAGCGACCGGGCGCAGAGAAUUCCCGGUGCGUGAGCAGAAUUCGGUGUGGAGAGUUCGUGAUACGAGUGAGUGUAUCGGAGUCACCUCGCGGCAGCCAUUGCCACUGAGCUAGGAAGGGCUCGAGCAGGUCGUGGGGGCUGUGCCACCACUACCCCCCCUUGUCCGUGGAUUCCGAGGUGAGGGUUAUAAUCUCAACCAUGGAUGAGGAUUCAGCGGAGGGAGAAGAUGAGGAGGAGGAAGAGCUUGCAGAGAGCACACAGCACUCCAUUCUCCCCAACAGCCAGGAGCUUUUUCUGACCCAGACGGAAUUGCCCUCCCAGCCCUCCCAAGCCACUAGCCCAGACAGUGAAGCCAUGGAAGCGACCUCUGCUGCACAUUUUUCAAGCCUCCCUACUCCAUCCCGAAGGCUAGCUCAGAUAAGGCGGAGGAAGAAGAGGACACGAGAUGAAAUGUUCUCUGAAAUCAUGGAAGUAACCCGCAAUGAAAGAGCUCAUCUGAGGGAGUGGAAGGACGUGGUAGCAAAGUACAGGAAAGAUGCCAGUGAACGUGAGGACAGGAGGGACAAACAUGAGGAUAGGAGGGACGAACGUGAGGAUAGGAGAGAUGCUUGAGAUGAGAGGUGUAGACAGGAAGAUCAGCGGUGGCGGGAUGCAACGCUGGAGCUGCUGCGUGAUCAAACUGACAUCCUCCGACGUCUGGUGGAUCUUCAGGAGGAGCAGCGUGGUCACAGAGUGCCGCUGCAGCCCAUGUUUAACCACCCUCAGUACUCACCAUGCUCCAUGUCUUCCUCACCCAGACGUGUAAGAACGCGUGGGGGAAGGCUUUGUGCACCAGCCCACUCCACCCCCGUGGACAGCCCAACCAAAAGGCUGUCAUUACAUUGAGAUGUGCUUAAUGGCCUUUUCCUUCCCUCCUAUCCUCCUCCCAAACCAAUCCCGGGAUACCUUGUUAAUUCUCUUCCUCUUUUUAUAAUUACAUGCUU